AAACUAUGGUGAGGGCAUAAUCUGAGUAUGUCCUUGAAUUUGUCCCAAGCUUAGUAUAAAGAUUCCCCCUCAUUCUGUCUGAAGUCUGCUAUGAGAUUUCUCAACU